ensembl:lncRNA
CUAAGAUACUGCAAGAACGCUGUCAGCAGACUAACUCGGCCAGUGAGGAGGAUCGCCUUCAGCGACGCUAGACCCACACAAAGAACCUGUGCCUGCGAUGCUGAAGCCUGACAGAGUGAGCGCCCCGAGCGAAGGGAGCGCCUUGCCGCUCAGAAUAACGGAAACACCACGAUAGGACACAACGUCCCACACCGCCCAGCAGCCGGCGGGCAGCACUGCGCCUGUGCGGUAUCCUCUGGCACACGGCACUCUCGCCCCUUCCCUCCGGGCGCCUCCAUCCCGCGGGGGGAGCGGGUUGUCCAGGCCUCUCCACUCCGGGUCCUGCGAACCGCCCUGCCCGGGCUUCCGCCCUCCAGCCCAGGGAAACAACAGCGGGGCUGCCGCCUCCUGCUUGUACAAGGCCGCCGCAGACCCUCCGCACUGCCGUAGAGCCGGCGCACCUCCCUCCCCCCCAUUGCGGGAGCGUUGGUUGGCCCUCCCGGGGCACUCUGGGAACUGGAGGGGCUGCGUUCUCGUUUCCGCUGCGCGUGGGGUGGCGGUGCGUGCUCGCUAAGGAUGCUCCGCGGGGCGGUCGGCGCUUGCCGCUGGGGCCUGAGAACCGGGAGGUGCGGGGGCGAGGCGAGGCGAGGCGAGUGAGGCGGCUGGCCGCUAAGGGGCGGGGCGGGGAGCGGUUGCUGGGAGAUAUGGCGGCGGGCCUGCCUCCCCCCGCAACCGCGUGCUCCCCGCCUUGGCCCAGUGCUGUGCGUGAGGGGAUCGGCCGUGCGCGUUGAUGACCACCCAUAGUCUGUCCAGACCAGAAGAAGAACCUUUUGGAAGAUGACUCCUCAUACUGUACUGCUUCGGUAUCUCAGUCUUUAAAGUGAAAACAUUAUUUUUUUCCUUCCUUUCAAGUGAAAGAAGUGGAAGUUUGGCAGUGGCCGAAGCAAGCAACAGUGCAACCACGUGACAUCGCAGGAGUACGAGUGUGUUUGUGCAGUAGCCAUGGGUGAUCUUCCUGGCAUCACAGGGAUAGGCAUGUGGUGAAAGCUUCUAAGCAUGUGAAGAGUGUGUACUAGAAGGUGACGAAGUACUGACACCCCAGCUCUCCUGCAGUUUUAUGAGGAAGAAUUGUUAGAACCAGCCUGAAACCAGUGGCAAUGCAAGACUACUCCCUUAGAAACAAAAAGCUGUUAAGGACUUGGGAAUGUUAAGCCUUUAAAUGCUUACACUAACACGAGUUAUUUCUAACUGUAUUAGAACAGUGCUUAUGUAGACAUAAAAAAAAAAAAAAAUAAAGAUUUAUGUUUCUGUUAUUAGAACUCUUGUCUUUUCCAAGCUGUAUUAACUGCCAAACAGAAGCAACUGCCAAGACUUGUUUUUUAUCAUUUUUGGGUUACCAGUUCACUACUUUGGAUUAAAAUACAGGAGUUAAUUAGUGUAUAGAACGUAAUCACUGAAACCAUGCCCCUCUGUAGCACUCAGAGUGGGUUAGCUGUUAGAUGUUGUGGUGAGGAAAAGCAGAAAUUUAAAUUUAGCAAACCUAUGUUUAAAAAUCACAAGAAAGGUGUUUUUCCAACAUGAAGAACUGCAAGCUAGUUCUGUAACUAGCUACAUAGAUCAGCUACAUGUUGUGAUACUUCAAGUAAAGUUAAAGUAGAGUGAAAUGCACUUCAAGAACAGCAAAUUAAUGUCCUAUUUUUUUGUUUGUUUUCUGAGAGGAAAGUUCAUUAAUUCAUUGUAUCAGAAAAGCAAAUGCUAAAUUUCUGUAUCUCAAAUUGUCUUACUGUGUAUUAAUGUAAGCAAAUUAUUAAUGCAACAUCUAAGCACAAGUGGGAGUGAAUUUCUGGUUUCUCAAAAGGGAUGGCAGUUUAGACAAGCAAUAAAUUUGUAGUGUUUUAGAAUGUAGAAAGCUCAAGGUUGUGCUAGGGACUGUACUUCCUGAAGACAGCAUCUGUUCAAGUGUUUUGCGCCUGGGUCUUUGUUUUUGCAUGGCGGGACUGGCAAGGCUAGUUUUUAAGACCUUUUUUUUAAAAAACAAAAACAAAAAACACAAAACAAGCUGCAAACAGCCAGUACAGUUUUCUUGAUAGCUAAAAUGUUAACUUCCUUUGAACAAGAAAAAUAAUGGGUAAUCUUAGGCAUCAGAAUAUAUUAACUGUUCCAUGGUGUGGUGGAAUGAAGAACAAAAAAGGAAAAAGGGUAGAGGAAUAUGUAAGGGGCACUGAUUACUAAAACAGUAAUGGUAAAUAGAAUUAUGGUAAAAAUAAGUGAAUAUAAAUGCAUCAGGACUCCCUUUCUUAGCUUUUUACGAGCAGCUAACUUGACUUCAGUUGUGAAAAAAAGUAAGGAAUCUCAGGUUUUUCUCCAUUAUUAUUUUAGACUAACAUUGUCUGACAGGCUGUUCAUUUUAUUAAAAUGAGUUGAAAGGAUAAGAGAUUCCCAGGUGAGCCGGGGGAGGAAGGGGGCGAAGAUAUUUGUGCUAGAUCAGUGUUGCACCAAUCCUCAAUUCUGCUACCUACUCCAGUGCUCUAUGGAAGGAAGUAUUAAAGCUGAGAAACAGAACUCUUGAAAGGUGUGCACAGAAAGAGAAGUGUCACAUUCCAGAUCAUUCUUUAGCCUCGCAUACUGCAUCCAGCUUCACUAGGGCAGGUUCUGUUGAAGGAAAUAUUGAAGGAAAUUGUAAUAAAUUUAACAGAAGAAUAUGAAGAAAGUCACGUGCAUGCUGAUACCCUUACUGAGGAAGCAAUGCACAAAACUGGCUGUUUUUUUUUUUUUAAAUUUAACUUCACAGCAAAGCAGAUGUCACAUAAACUACCAGCUG